GCCCUUAAUUCAUUACUGAAACUUCUGAAAUUUUGUCCCCAAAUGCCUAAAUACAGAUGUGCUUUUCUUGUGCUCUCAGACAGUCAUGGACAUAUUGACCCCUCUCUGCGACCCGUCUGGGAACUAGCUUUUCUCGGCAGCUCUUACGUGAUGUGGGAGAAGACAACGCGGUUUUUGCACUACUACAUGGCACAGCUGAGCGGCGUGAAGCAGUGGGAAACAAACGAUGGUGCGAUUGAUUUUGAUUAUACUGUUCUACUCCAUGAAUUCUCAACGCAGGAAAUCAUUCCCUGUCGUAUUCACUUGGUCUGGUCCCCUGGCAAACCACUUACAGUGAAGUACCACUGUCAAGAGCUGCUGGCACCAGAAGACGCCUCUGGAACUGAAGAAGGAUCAGCUGUGGCACCAACAGAGCUUAGUAAUUUCUGAAAAGAAAAGAAAGAUCUGUUUAUACCAAGUUCUACACAAAAUGACCAUACCGAAUAGCCUGAAUCAUUAUUCUAGUAAAAUAGCUAAGGCAUAGGCUUUUUGAUAAUUUGGGAAAGACUGUGAUUUCAAGUAAAUACUCAAAAAUUAAAAGAUGUUGGGAUUUUUGUUUUUCAGUGGGUUUCGCUUCGUUUUAGCUCUGGGUGCACGUGCAUACUCAAUCCUGUUCUUAACAGUCACCCCACAGGCUCCUCAGGGUUGCGGUCCUAAA